rnacentral:tRNA from 1 species
GGUGAGAUGGCCGAGUGGUUAUGGCGCUGCGUUCAGGUUUACCUGGAUUUCAAAAAACUUCGCAGUGGAGCAAUCCGCGUGGGUUCGAGUCCCACUCUCAUCA